UGCCACAAUCCUCAUAUGAUAUUUGCUGUUUUGCAUACCCUUGACUUCUCUCCUUGGCAGCUGAGACUCAGCCUGAUGAGGACUGACAAAGCUGGGGCUUAGCAAAACAGAGCUUUGGACACCGGCUGAAGAGAUUCUCCUGAGGGAAGCUCUUUGGAGCAAAAACUCCACAAAACUUGGAGUGAAAUCUGGGCUCUGAGUCAAUGCUGAAGCUCCCACUGACUUGGAAUGGAGGCAUACUCAGUCUUGUCUUAUGUUUUGUGAAUUGUCCUCAACAUGGAUGCAAUCCCUACUCUGGAUUAUUUAUGAGCUCUGAUGCAGAGAAUCCUGGCAACUGAAAUCCAAUCUGAAGUGUUUUGAGAUGAGGAUAAAGAUGAUUAUUUGACGUAAUCAGCUCUUCAGAAAAGCCAACUUUCUGCCAUGGGAAGAGAAAAUUAAGUAAGUUUAUGCACAAUAAAAGGUUUCUUGAAAGGAGUAACUGUUCUGAAAGAAGCAAAGAAAAAGAAGCUCAGAAGAAAUAUGUAGUGUCCAAACUAGUAGCACUUCAUUGAUUCCUUACAAUCAUUACCUAAAUUAACAGAAGAGUGAACAACUAAGAGGUAAUUCAUGCUACCAUAGAUGAUCCUCACUAAAAGCACUGAUUCAGACACCAAGCAGGAUAAAAGGGUGCAGAUGCAAUGCAUUCUCCAGGUUAGAAAAACAUACCUUUAUCUCCUUAAGUUCUCUCAGAGAUCUGCACAACCCAUCAACAGAACUCAUGAUUUCUUCAUACUUUAGUACAGUUUUUUCUACAUACUUCUUUCCUUCUUCAAUCCCUACAAAGGCAAAAACAGCAUGAAAGUAGAACAGAAUGCCUCAAACAGACCUGCAAAAAUCCUUGUAAUUUGCUUCCUCAAGGGACUUCAAUAAACACAUUUUUCAAUAAACACAUUUUUCAAUAAACACAUUUUUCAAUAAACACAUUUUUCAAUAAA